GGCGGGAUGUCCGAGUGGUUAAAGGAGACGGGCUGUAAACCCGUUGGCUCUGCCUACGAAGGUUCGAAUCCUUCUCCCGCCA
rnacentral:tRNA from 1 species